GAUGAACGCUCGCGGGAGGCCUAACACAUGCAAGCCGAGCGGUAUUUGCUCUUCGGAACAGAGAGAGCGGCGCACGGGUGCGGAACACGUGUGCAACCUGCCUUUAUCUGGGGGAUAGCCUUUCGAAAGGAAGAUUAAUACCCCAUAAUAUAUUGAGUGGCAUCAUUUGAUAUUGAAAACUCCGGUGGAUAGAGAUGGGCACGCGCAAGAUUAGAUAGUUGGUGAGGUAACGGCUCACCAAGUCAAUGAUCUUUAGGGGGCCUGAGAGGGUGAUCCCCCACACUGGUACUGAGACACGGACCAGACUCCUACGGGAGGCAGCAGUGAGGAAUAUUGGACAAUGGGUUAGCGCCUGAUCCAGCCAUCCCGCGUGAAGGACGACGGCCCUAUGGGUUGUAAACUUCUUUUGUAUAGGGAUAAACCUACUCUCGUGAGAGUAGCUGAAGGUACUAUACGAAUAAGCACCGGCUAACUCCGUG
rnacentral:rRNA from 1 species